AUAAGAACCACCUGGUAAUCUUGUUAAAAUGCAGAUUCUAAUUCAGUAGGUCUGAUGGGACCCAAGAGUCUGUAGUUCCAAUAAGCUCUCAAGUGAUGAUGAU
rnacentral:pre_miRNA from 1 species